rnacentral:rRNA from 1 species
UACAGAGGGGGCAAGCGUUGUUCGGAAUUACUGGGCGUAAAGGGCGCGUAGGCGGCCCGCUAAGUCGAACGUGAAAUCCCCGAGCUCAACUCGGGAACUGCGUCCGAUACUGGCGGGCUUGAAUCCGGGAGAGGGAUGCGGAAUUCCAGGUGUAGCGGUGAAAUGCGUAGAUAUCAGGAGGAACACCGAUGGCGAAGGCAGAUCUCUGGGCCGUAACUGACGCUGAGGAGCGAAAGCAUGGGGAGCGAACAGG